rnacentral:rRNA from 1 species
AACAGGAUUAGAUACCCUGGUAGUCCACGCCGUAAACGAUGUCGACUUGGAGGUUGUGCCCUUGAGGCGUGGCUUCCGGAGCUAACGCGUUAAGUCGACCGCCUGGGGAGUACGGCCGCAAGGUUAAAACUCAAAUGAAUUGACGGGGGCCCGCACAAGCGGUGGAGCAUGUGGUUUAAUUCGAUGCAACGCGAAGAACCUUACCUACUCUUGACAUCCAGAGAACUUAGCAGAGAUGCUUUGGUGCCUUCGGGAACUCUGAGACAGGUGCUGCAUGGCUGUCGUCAGCUCGUGUUGUGAAAUGUUGGGUUAAGUCCCGCAACGAGCGCAACCCUUAUCCUUUGUUGCCAGCGGUUAGGCCGGGAACUCAAAGGAGACUGCCAGUGAUAAACUGGAGGAAGGUGGGGAUGACGUCAAGUCAUCAUGGCCCUUACAAGUAGGGCUACACACGUGCUACAAUGGCGCAUACAAAGAGAAGCGACCUCGCGAGAGCAAGCGGACCUCAUAAAGUGCGUCGUAGUCCGGAUUGGAGUCUGCAACUCGACUCCAUGAAGUCGGAAUCGCUAGUAAUCGUGGAUCAGAAUGCCACGGUGAAUACGUUCCCGGGCCUUGUACACACCGCCCGUCACACCAUGGGAGUGGGUUGCAAAAGAAGUAGGUAGCUUAACCUUCGGGAGGGCGCUUACCACUUUGUGAUUCAUGACUGGGGUGAAGUCGUAACAAGGUAACC